rnacentral:rRNA from 1 species
CCUACGGGAGGCAGCAGUGGGGAAUAUUGGGCAAUGGAGGAAACUCUGACCCAGCAACGCCGCGUGAAUGAUGAAGGUCUUCGGAUUGUAAAGUUCUUUUCUAAGGGAAGAAGAAAGUGACGGUACCUUAGGAAUAAGCCCCGGCUAACUACGUGCCAGCAGCCGCGGUAAUACGUAGGGGGCAAGCGUUAUCCGGAUUUACUGGGUGUAAAGGGAGCGCAGACGGCAGUGCAAGUCUGGAGUGAAAGCCCGGGGCCCAACCCCGGAACUGCUCUGGAAACUGUGCGGCUAGAGUACUGGAGGGGCAGGCGGAAUUCCUAGUGUAGCGGUGAAAUGCGUAGAUAUUAGGAGGAACACCAGUGGCGAAGGCGGCCUGCUGGACAGUAACUGACGUUGAGGCUCGAAAGCGUGGGGAGCAAACAGGAUUAGAUACCCCUGUAGUC